rnacentral:tRNA from 1 species
GGAGAUUUAGCUUUUUGGCAUAAGUACCUGCCUUGUAAGCAGGCAGUCGUGAGUUCAAUCCCCG